rnacentral:rRNA from 1 species
ACCCGCUGAACUUAAGCAUAUCAAUAAGCGGAGGAAAAGAAACCAACAGGGAUUGCCCUAGUAACGGCGAGUGAAGCGGCAACAGCUCAAAUUUGAAAUCUGGCUUCGGCCCGAGUUGUAAUUUGCAGAGGAAGCUUUAGGCGCGGCACCAUCUGAGUCCCCUGGAACGGGGCGCCAUAGAGGGUGAGAGCCCCGUAUAGUUGGAUGCCUAGCCUGUGUAAAGCUCCUUCGACGAGUCGAGUAGUUUGGGAAUGCUGCUCAAAAUGGGAGGUAAAUUUCUUCUAAAGCUAAAUACCGGCCAGAGACCGAUAGCGCACAAGUAGAGUGAUCGAAAGAUGAAAAGCACUUUGAAAAGAGGGUUAAAUAGCACGUGAAAUUGUUGAAAGGGAAGCGCUUGUGACCAGACUUGCGCCGGGCGGAUCAUCCGGUGUUCUCACCGGUGCACUCCGCCCGGCUCAGGCCAGCAUCGGUUCUCGCGGGGGGAUAAAGGCCCUGGGAACGUAGCUCCUCCGGGAGUGUUAUAGCCCAGGGCGUAAUGCCCUCGCGGGGACCGAGGACCGCGCAUCUGCAAGGAUGCUGGCGUAAUGGUCAUCAGCGACCCGUCUUGAAACACGG